rnacentral:rRNA from 1 species
UACGUAGGUGGCAAGCGUUGUCCGGAUUUACUGGGCGUAAAGAGCGCGCAGGCGGUCGGUCAAGUCGCGUGUGAAAGCCCCCGGCUCAACUGGGGAGGGUCACGCGAUACUGAUCGACUGGAAGGCAGGAGAGGGUAGUGGAAUUCCCGGUGUAGUGGUGAAAUGCGUAGAUAUCGGGAGGAACACCAGUGGCGAAGGCGACUACCUGGCCUGUUCUUGACGCUGAGGCGCGAAAGCUAGGGGAGCAAACGGG